GAUGAACGCUAGCGGCAGGCCUAAUACAUGCAAGUCGAACGAGCUACAGGACUUCGGUUCUGUGGUUAGUGGCGCACGGGUGCGUAACGCGUAUGCAACCUACCUUCCACAGGGGGAUAGCCUUCCGAAAGGAAGAUUAAUACCGCAUAACACCAUGAAGUGGCAUCACUCUAUGGUCAAAGCUGAGGCGGUGGAAGAUGGGCAUGCGUGCCAUUAGUUAGUUGGUAGGGUAACGGCCUACCAAGACUUCGAUGGCUAGGGGUUCUGAGAGGAUGGUCCCCCACACUGGUACUGAGACACGGACCAGACUCCUACGGGAGGCAGCAGUAGGGAAUAUUGGGCAAUGGAAGAGGUUCUGACCCAGCCAUGCCGCGUGCAGGAAGAAGGCCUUCUGGGUUGUAAACUGCUUUUAUCUGGGAAGAGAACGCUCCUGCGGGGGUAACUGACGGUACCAGAUGAAUAAGCACCGGCUAACUCCGUGCCAGCCGCCGCCGUAAUAC
rnacentral:rRNA from 1 species